rnacentral:rRNA from 1 species
AAGUCGUAACAAGGUUUCCGUAGGUGAACCUGCGGAAGGAUCAUUAACAAAUGUCCUUUGACAACUUUGCGCCCGGUGCGAGCCGGGCCAGAGUCCAAACCUGAUGUGAAUCGGAAAAUUUCUGCUUCGGCAGCUGGCUCGGGCAACCGACCUGUAAGCCUGCCGGCGGCAUCCAAACCAAACUUAACUUUGCAAAUUUUGUAUGAAACCAUUCUAAAAUCUGAAUGAAAUUAAAACUUUCAACAACGGAUCUCUUGAUUCUCGCAUCGAUGAAGAACGCAGCGAAACGCGAUAGUUAAUGUGAAUUGCAGAAUUCAGUGAAUCAUCGAGUCUUUGAACGCACAUUGCGCCCAUUGGUAUUCCGAUGGGCACGUCUGUUUGAGCGUCAUCACAACCCUUUCGGCUCGACGUUUGCUCGUCGGCCGGUGCUGAGCUUGGUACCAACCCGACUUCCGUUGGGCGGCCCCGGCUUCAAAGUUGUGCGCUCUGCGGGCACCCUACCCAGCGAAACAUAGUAAAAUUGCUACCUGUCGAGCUGCGGUCCGGUGGCCUACCCGCCUGAAAAAACAUCAAUCUUGAAGUUUGACCUCAGAUCAGACGAGGAUACCCGCUGAACUUAAGCAUAUCAAUAAGCGGAGGAAAAGAAACCAACAGGGAUUGCCUCAGUAACGGCGAGUGAAGCGGCAAGAGCUCAAAUUUGAAAUCUGGUGUCUUUGGCGCCCGAGUUGUAAUUUGAAGAGGAUGCCUCGGUUGCAACCCCGGCCUAAGUUCCUUGGAACAGGACGUCGCAGAGGGUGAGAAUCCCGUACGCGGUUGGCGGUUCGCUUCCAUGUGUGGCUCCUUCGAAGAGUCGAGUUGUUUGGGAAUGCAGCUCAAAAUGGGUGGUAAAUUUCAUCUAAAGCUAAAUAUUGGCGAGAGACCGAUAGCGCACAAGUAGAGUGAUCGAAAGAUGAAAAGCACUUUGAAAAGAGAGUUAAACAGUACGUGAAAUUGUUGAAAGGGAAGCGCUUGCAAUCAGACUCACCUGCGGUUGAUCAACGUUCCUUCUGGUUCGUGCACUCUGCCGUCUGUGGGCCAGCAUCGGUUGGUGCGGCGGGACAAAGGCGUUGGGAAUGUGGCUCUCUUCGGGGAGUGUUAUAGCCCAGCGUGUAAUGCCGCCUGCCGCCGACCGAGGUCCGCGAUUCGUCUAGGAUGCUGGCUUAAGGGUUGUAAGCGACC